GUCUGACUCUGACAUAAAAAACGCCCAUUUUAUUGUAUUUCGUCAUCAUGGCCCUUCAGCUCUGCCAAAAUGAAUAUUUGCAAUCCUGUUUGCAACUGCAUUUCCACUGUCAGCAAGGCAGUCCUGUCAUUUAAGCGCUGUGGGUUUGUUGGAUGUAUCAAGCGGGUUAAAGAAGCCGCGAUAUCCAUCUGAACGGACACCGAUCACUGCCCCUAUGGAAGGUCCUCGUCUGAGAAAGUCCUCAGCGAGCCGCCGACAGCACACAGCGCUACUGUCCACAUUGGUCCAGAAGCUGACUGGAUUUGUCUGUGUGCCACAACAACAUACUGGCAGUGGUCAAAUAAUGCACACAAGUUAAAAAACUGCAGUUCUGAAGUGGAACAACAAAGCCACAGCUCAUGAGAUGGAUUCUGCUGUGGCCGAUCACCUCAAGCAUGCCCCCUGCAGAGCUUUUAACUUUUUUUUUUCUUUUCUUGUUUGACUUCUCAGAAACUAAAAUGCAAGAUUUUGUCUCGUUAAAUAAUCACCUUGAUUUCCUUUACAUUAAAACAUUGAAAAUCAUGUACAAUACUGACACAGCUUAUGGUUCAAAGGUUUGAAAAUUCUUUCUGAAUUGAUACAUAGGAUCUUUGUCUUAGUCCUAACGAAGUUCAUGGUCCAGUUUCAUGUUCCACAAAUGAAAUUAAUAAUAACUACACGUUUUCAAUAAAGUUUCCAUUUAACAAAGUUUGUUUUAUGUUUACAUUGGAAUCAAAAUUGUUAGUUAACUACAGGAAGUUUUUUUGCAUGGGGAAAAGGUUCUUCACAUUGACAGAUAAUGUGUUGUAUAUGGUUCUACAUAGAAAAAUUCAUUCUAUAUAACACCAAAAAAGGUUGUUCUAUUGUACAGUGUAUUAAGCAUGAAAUGGUUCUAUAUAGGAUUCAUGCUAAAGUGUUAUCUUUUUUUGAGAGUGUACUAGUGGAAAUUAAUUUU